rnacentral:rRNA from 1 species
GACGAACGCUGGCGGCGUGCUUAACACAUGCAAGUCAAGGGGGCCCGCAAGGGUAACCGGAGAACGGGUGCGUAACACGUGAGCAAUCUGCCUAGAUGUGGGGGAUAGCCGGCCCAACGGCCGGGUAAUACCGCAUACGCGCACCGGGUGGCAUCACUUGGUGAGGAAACAUUCGUGGCAUCUAGAGGAGCUCGCGGCCUAUCAGCUAGUUGGUGGGGUAACGGCCUACCAAGGCUUUGACGGGUAGCUGGUCUGAGAGGAUGGCCAGCCACAUUGGGACUGAGAUACGGCCCAGACUCCUACGGGAGGCAGCAGUGGGGAAUAUUGCGCAAUGGCCGAAAGGCUGACGCAGCGACGCCGCGUGGGGGAUGAAGCAUUUCGGUGUGUAAACCCCUGUUGCUCGGGACGAACAACUGGUUUCGACCAGUCUGACGGUACCGGGUGAGGAAGCACCGGCUAACUCCGUGCCAGCCGCCGCGGUAAAAC